rnacentral:rRNA from 1 species
GAUGAACGCUGGCGGCGUGCCUAAUACAUGCAAGUCGAGCGAACGGACGAGAAGCUUGCUUCUCUGAUGUUAGCGGCGGACGGGUGAGUAACACGUGGAUAACCUACCUAUAAGACUGGGAUAACUUCGGGAAACCGGAGCUAAUACCGGAUAAUAUUUUGAACCGCAUGGUUCAAAAGUGAAAGACGGUCUUGCUGUCACUUAUAGAUGGAUCCGCGCUGCAUUAGCUAGUUGGUAAGGUAACGGCUUACCAAGGCAACGAUGCAUAGCCGACCUGAGAGGGUGAUCGGCCACACUGGAACUGAGACACGGUCCAGACUCCUACGGGAGGCAGCAGUAGGGAAUCUUCCGCAAAGGGCGAAAGCAUGACGGAGCAACGCCGCGUGAGUGAUGAAGGUCUUCGGAUCGUAAAACUCUGUUAUUAGGGAAGAACAAAUGUGUAAGUAACUGUGCACAUCUUGACGGUACCUAAUCAGAAAGCCACGGCUAACUACGUG